GCACCCGUAGCUCAACUGGAUAGAGCGCCUGGCUUCGGACCAGGAGGUUGUGGGUUCGACUCCUGCCGGGUGCGUCA
rnacentral:tRNA from 1 species